CCCGGAGUCCUCGCGGGACUAGGAUCACCCUUCCGCCAAGCGCGAGAGACGCCCUCCACAAAGGGCCUCUAGAAAGUGCUGCGCGCCCGCGUGUGCGCAUGCGCGUUAGCGUUGGUGCGCUCGCACUUCCCGCUCUUACUCAAGCUCCCUCACGUGAGACGCCGGUCCAGAUGUCGCGCCGGGCUUCAGUUUGGUGUCAGCUACCAGCCUUUGCUCAGCCAGUCGCUGAGGCUUGUCCUCCUCACACAGUCCAGUCUGUCAUGGUCACUGCCAAGAGUUCUUUCCCAGGCCGGGCAGCGUCUGGGUCCCUCAGCCCUUCCGAAAUGAGGAUUCACUUAAGCUGCCUCCCUGAUUCCAUACUCCGUGCAGGCCAUGUCCUACCCCAGCUUUCAAGCCGUCAUACCUGUACCUCAGAGAGAAAAAAGAGGAAAUUCUAACGUGCAACUAAGGUUGAGAACCACUGACCUGUAGGAUGAAGUCCCAACUUCCCAUGGAGCCCAAGACUCUGCCUGACCAGGCUCCUGCCGAUCCCUCCAGCCGGCCUCACCGCUGGCCCCGCCAUGCCUUUAUGCUCCAGCAACACUGAACUGCUUGGAGUUACCACCACCACUCCAUGGCUCAUGGCAUUUCCCCCAGCCCAACAUGACUUCCCUACUGGUCCAACUUCACUUUCUACAGGAAGCCAUUCCCGACUACCUACUUCAGCACUUUCUCUCACCUCCUGGUGCUCCAUAAAACCGUGGUUAUGUCUCUUUACUGAACAUCCACAUUAUGUUAUGGUGAUCUAUUUAUGCAUUCAUUAUCCUUAAGUCAAAGGAUGUAUAUUUAUUUACAUAUGGAUACUUCAUGGAGCUCAAAGCUGCUAACAGUGUAUCCAGGCCUCUGGAGCUCUGCAACCCCGAAUUAGAAAGCUGCCCAGGACCAAGAUACUUCCUCUAUGUCCCUCUCUCUUGUUGGGAUUUCAUGGCCUCUGGCCUCUCCUCAUUACUUUUGGUUCUUCUUGGCAGACAACAUUCUCCACCUCUGUUUGCCCAGAUGAACUAAAGUUGGCCGUUCCACAAAGGCAGGCUUAAAUCCUGAAGGUACAUGUUCUCACUUGCAACAACACUGACUAGCAUCCUAAAUGUCAAUUCCAAAGUCCCAGAAAAGAGAAUCUUAUUCCAGGAAUUUGCCCUGUUCCAGUCAGCUGUGACCAAAUCUGCUGCAUUAAGAAAGCAGGUCUUGGGAAAAGGGAGAUAAACCAAGGGAUGGAUGGGCAGAUACCCCAAAAAAGUGACAAUUGUGCUCCAAGAAUCAAAGGAUUCUUGAACCGUGUGAUAAACAAGUGUAGAUCAGCAAUACCAAGUGCCACAGCAGCCCAGGAGGAAACCAUUAUUUCGGUCUUGGCUGUCAGGAAAGCCUACGCAGAAAAGUUGACAUUAGACCUGGACCUUAAAGGAUGAGUAGGAUUUUUCCAGGCAUAGGGAAAAUAAAGGAUAUUCUAGGUGAAGACGAGAUCAACAAGGUCUUUGGAGAGUAUGUUUCGCUGUGAAAGUGCAUGGAUGGGACUGGAGUGGUACUAAGGAUGGCAGGACCAGCACAUGGGGCUAGAAAUGUGGGUUUGGUCUAGACUGUGAGAGUCUUCAUACACCACACGCAGUCUGGUCUUCAUUGUUCGUGAGGUGGGCUCCUUCUAGAGGACCUCAGUCACUCAGGAAAUGAGAAAGUAAAGUGAGCAACUCAGGGAGGGGCCUUGAGGGUCUGUGCUGGGCAAUGGGUAGAUUCUUACCAGACUUUACAGCUCAAAAAGCACUUGACUUGUGAUACCUCAUCUCAUCCUCACAAUAUCACAACCUAGGUAGGGCUAGCUCUUAUUUUACCCGUGUUACUAAAGAUGAAAAUGUGGUUCAAUUCACUUAAGUAACUUGCCCAAGAUCACGCAGCCAACCAGCAAAAGCAUGACUUGAAUUUAGGUCUUUUGAUUCUAGAGUCUAUGCUCAGUCUACGGCACCGAGCUACACAGCAAUGGAAAGGCCAUAUCUCUAUGAUCUAGAGAAAGGGAAUGAAUACUUCAGGAAAAAUAUUUUCAUUAUUGACUAAUGAUAAGGAAAAAUACUCAUGAUAGGAUACCAACUGGUAGAGAGAAGGUUGAUUGUAAAACCACUUUAAGCAUUGUGGUGUUAAUCUUUUUUAAA